rnacentral:lncRNA from 1 species
ACCCUGCCAGCCUCCCUGCUGCAGCCGGCAGCACGUCACUCCAUGCGGGAGGGGAGCCCCACCUAAGAUGCAGCUCAGGUGUGCCUUUUCUUCGCCUGUGCCCAUCCACCUGAGAUGGACCAUAACCAUAAAAGUCAGAAGGCACUGACCCUUCAGGACGUGACAGGGUUAAAAGAUGCUGGAGGGAAAGUCUGUCAUUGACUUUUAUUCACUUCCUUUCUCCAUUCUGCCAUUUGGAAGAAGGCUGGAGUGCAAUGGCGCGAUCUCGGCUCACUGCAACUUCCGCCUCCCAGGUUCAAGUGAAUCUCCUGCCUCAGCCUUCCGAGUAGCUGGGACUACAGGCACGUGCCACCAUGCCCAGCUAAUUUUUGUAUUUUUAGUAGAGAUGGGGUUUCACCAUGUUGGCCAGGAUGGUCUUGAUCUCUUGACCUCAUGAUCUGCCCGCCUCAGCCUCCUAGAGUGCUGAGAUUACAGGCGUGAGCCCCCGUGCCUGGCCUUGAAUGGGAUUAGUGUUUUAAAGAGGCCUGAGAGAGACUCCUGGCCACUUUUGCCUUAUGAGGACACAGUGGAAAGGUCCCAUCCCUGAACCAGGAAAUGGGCACUUACCAGACACUGAAUCUGCCUGCAGCUUGACCUUGAACUUCCCAGCCUCCAGAACUCUGAGGAAUAAAUUUCUGUUAUGUGAUAAGCCAUUCAGUCUGUGGUAUUUUGUUAUACCAGCCCAAACGGACUAAGACACAGAACAUAGCCUGUGCCUCUUCCAGUUUCUUCAGGAUCCUUCUGGGCUCAGAGAAUGGAGCUAAGAGGAAGAUUCUACCAUUAGGGCUGGUCUUCACCUGUCUCUUAAGACUGAUGGGCUCCCCAUUUGAAUGACAUUGAUCAACCCGACAUUAACCCAUUGGGUAUGGCUGGGGCAGCUCCUCUUAUCUGUGAGGUGGGAACCAGGUUGGUAAUGUUGCAUCCUGUUAGCCAGGUUCCUAGUUCAGUUUAGCUGUUGUGCAGGUCAAGGACUCUUAAGGAUUGAAUUGCAUCCCUUCAAAAGAUAUUGAAGUCCUAACCCCCAGAAUCGGUGACUGUGACCUUAUUUGGAAAUGGGUCUUUGCAGACACAAUCAAGUUAAGAUGAGGUCAUAUUGGAUUAAAGUGGUGUGUAAUUCAAUAGAUGAUCUCUUUAAUGAAAAGGGAAAUUUGUACUGAGAAACACAGAGGGAAAUGCUAUGUGAAGAUGGAGGCAGAGAUUGGAGUGAUUUGGAGCAAUGUGUAUGUCUGCAAGCCAAGGAACACCAAGUAUUGCCAGCCAUCACCAGAGCUGGAGGAGGGGCCUGGAACAGAUUCCCACUAGAGCCCCCAAAAGGAUCCAACCCUGCUGACACUUUGACUUUGGAGUUGUGGCCUUCAGAACUGUGAGAGAAUUAAUUUGUGUUGUUUUGAGCCACUCAGAGUGUGGUAUUUUGUUAUAGAAGUCCUUGGAUACUAAUAAAGACAUUAAUAGCCAGAUCGGAGGCACCCCCUCCAAGGCCUGAGAGAAGGUUGUUUUAUGGAACCCUGGUUUAGUAGCUGGGACCACAGAUGCGUGCCACCAUGCCUGGCUAUUUUUUUAAAUUUUUUGUACAGAUGGCAUCUUGCUGUGUUGCCCAGGAUUCUGGCUAGGGACUGUGGUUGCAGGUGCUGGGGCUAAUGAAAAUGGGCAAGAGCAGAAUAGCACAGUAACAUCUAUUCUCUAAAUCGACAAUCUUUUCCAGACUACGGUUUAAGAAUCUGUGCCCGAUGAAGCUGAAGGGGGCCUCAGAACUGGUCUCGUGGUCCUCCUCUCAGCUCUGAGGUACUUGUGGCUUGUGGCAGAGCCGCUAUGGACGUCGCUGACCUAGUGGUCAGUGCAUACAUCUGCAGAAAGGUCACUCUACAUUCAAGUGAACCAAUAGAGUGUCUAGAAAUCUCAAUUCAUGGUGUGUGGGGGCAAGAUGCCCAUUCUGACCCUUUAAGGGGGCAUCAACAUUUCAGAGGGUGGUAGGAGUGGUGAUGAGUCCUCCUUAGGGUGAAAGUUCACCCCUUUGGGCUACUAGAGGGCAGUCAUUGGUAUAAUUUCUCUAUUUUAAGCAUUCUGAUGUUUGAUUACAACUUACCCAUGGAAGGCUGAGUUUGUAGUUACUGAACCUUUCCAAGGCUGGGUAGCGUGCCUUCUCUCCCGAAUGCUAUGGAGUUCUACAGUGUGCCAGCAUCUGUUUCUGUAGCUCCUUCUUUCAUCACUGAUGGACGUUUAGAUUGUUUCCAGUUUCUACUACCACAAACAGUGCUUCAGUGACCAUCCUUAGCUGUGGCUUCUUGUGUAUGUGUGAGGAUUUCUUCAGAAUCAGGUCUCCACCUUGGACACUGUCCAUAUAUUGGGCCAGAUAAUUAUUUAGUGUUGGGGGUGCUGUCCUGUGCACUGUAGAACGCUUAGCAGCACUUAGCAGCAUCCCUGGCCUCCACCCACUAGGUGUCAGUAGUGUGCACUACUUAUCACCACCAAAAAUGUCCCCACAUGGUGUCAAAUAUCCACUGGGGGAAACAUUGGCCUUCCCGCCUGUUCAGAACCAUUGGGAUAGAUGAAAAAUGUGAGGCGGUGUUUUUUUUGUUGUUGUUUUUUGUUUUGUUUCGUUUUGUUUUAAGACAGGGUCUCGUUCUGUCAUCUAGACUGGAUCACAGUGGCAUGAUCACAGCUCACUGCAGCCUCAACCUCCUGGGCUCAAGUGAUCUGCCCACUUCAGCCUCCCCAGUAGCUGGGACCACAGGCGUAUGCCACCAUGCCCGGCUAUUCUUUUUUUAUUUUUUAUAGAAUGGCAUCUUUGCUAUGUUGCCCAGGCUGGUCUCAAACUCCUGGCCUCAAACAAUCCUCCUGCCUCAGCCUCCCAAAGUGCUGCGAUUACAGGCAUGAGCCACUGUGCCUGGCCAAGAGUGAGAUUUAUGAAUCAAAAGGUGCUAUGAUUUGAAUAUUCAUCCUCUCCCAAAUUCCUGUUGAAAUUUAGUUUCCACAAUGGCAGUAUUAAGAGGUGGGACCUUUAAGAGAUGAUUGGAAUAAUUCAUUCAUGGAUUAAUGGAUUAAUGAACUAAUAGAUUAUCAUGGAGUUAUAAGAAGAAGAGAACUUGAGCUUGUACUCCCAGCCCCUCGCCAUGUGGUCUCCUGGGCCAACUCAGGACUCUGCAGAGAGUUCUCCAUCAGCAAGAAAGCUCCUCACCAGAUGUGGCCCCUUGACCUUGAAUUCUUCAGCCUUCAUAACUGCAAGAAAUAAAUUUAUUUUCUUAUAAAUAGCCCAGUUUCAGGUAUUCUGUCAUAAGUAACAGAAAAGGGACUAAGACAAAGGGAAUGCAUGUUGAGUGUAAUACACAUGCUGAACAGUCAUACAGGGGCUGGGCACAUUCCACACUCCUGGAGGCAAUGUCUAAUAGACAUUCGACACCAUCACCAUACUUACAAGCCAUGCUGAUGGCUGAGACAGGGCGAAUCAUUUAGUUUUGGGUUUGAUUUUCUUAAUUAUUACCUAAACGUCUUCUCAUGUUUAUUAGUCAUUAGAAUUUCAUUUAUUAUGAGUUACCUAUUCAGUGUCUUUGUCUGUUUGUCUAUUCUUCUUCUUAUUGAUGUUCAGAGAAAAUAUCCAAAAUAUUUGACAACCAUGAGGGCACUGGAUCUUCAAAUGUCCAAACACCUGCCCCCAUAGGAUGGACACCAGCUGUUUACACCAACACAGGAGUCCUGGGUGCGGUGAAAGAACAUCUGCCAUGUGGAUUUGUUGCUGUUCUUAAUUUACUAUGGAAAUUAGCCUCUUGCCUGUGAUAGAAAUCACACGUAUUAUCUCUGAGUAGUCCCAUGUCUUAAAGCUUUGUUUGUUAUUUAAAUUUCAAAGUAGACAAAUUGAGAUGUCUUCUCUUCC